rnacentral:rRNA from 1 species
UAACUCCAGCUCCAAGAGUGUAUAUUAAAGUUGUUGCGGUUAAAAAGCUCGUAGUUGGACUUGAGGGAUUUAUAUAAAGGGAUUCUAAUUUUAAAAUUAGAUAUUCUUAUAUAUUUUUUCCUUUCUUUGUAUUUUUUAAAGAUUAAUUUAAAUGGGGUUAAACUCAUUUUUUUUAUUCUGGGGAUAGAUAGUUUACUUUGAAAAAAUUAGAGUGUUUAAAGCAGACAUGAGACAUUAACCUUAAUUUUGUUGGUUUUGAAGGUUAAUAGUAAUGAUUAAAAGGGAUAGUUGGGGUCACUUGUAUUUGAUCGCUAGGGGUGAAAUCCUAUGAUUGAUCAAAGACAAACUACUGCGAAAGCAUUUGACAAGGAUGUUUUCAUUGAUCAAGAACGAAAGUUAGGGGAUCGAAGAUGAUUAGAUACCGUCGUAGUCUUAACCAUAAACAAUGUCGACUUUGGAUUAGGAAAUAUUACAUGGAUGAUUUUCCUAGCACAAUAUGAGAAAUCAUAAGUAUUCAGACUCCGGGGGGAGUAUGGUCGCAAGAGUGAAACUUAAAGGAAUUGACGGAAGGGCACCACCAGGAGUGGAACCUGCGGCUUAAUUUGACUCAACACGGGGAAACUUACCGGGUCCGGACACUUUGAGGAUUGACAGAUUGAUAGCUCUUUCUUGAUUAAGUGGGUGGUGGUGCAUGGCCGUUUUUAGUUGGUGGAUUGAUUUGUCUGGUUAAUUCCGAAAACGAACGAGACCUUAACCUAUUAAAUAGUAUAAUUAAAAUUGAAUACAAAUUCUUGAAAUUUGAAAAAAAAAGAAAUGGAUACUUCUUAAAGGGACUCUUCAUAUUUUAGUGAAUGGAAGUUUAAGGCAAAAACAGGUCUGUGAUGCCCUUAGAUGUUCCGGGCUGCACGCGCGUUACACUGAUGCGAUCAAAGAGUUUAAUUUAAAUUUCCUUAUUUGAAAAGAUUGGGUAAACUUUAAAAUCGUAUCGUGAUUGGGAUAGUGCUUUGUAAUUAUCGCACUUGAACGAGGAAUUCCUAGUAGGUGCAAGUCAUCAUCUUGCUCCGAUUACGUCCCCGCCCUUUGUACACACCGCCCGUCGCUCCUACCGAUUGAAUAAUCCGAUGAGGAUUCAA